UGCAAGGGUUUACACUUCUACUCUCUCUCACACCUACAUCUUCUUUACAAAACUCUUCUUCGAAUUUCUUCAUCCUUCUUUCAUUCCCUAAGUUUUUCAUCGGAUUCACAAGAUUGAAAGACUCCAUUCUUCUUUCUACUUUCACUUUUGCAAAAAAAAAAACCAUUUGUUAUACAAUGACAGGGCCAUCAAGAAAGAAAAAUCCUAUGAGGGUCGUGCAAGUGAAGGGUCAAAUUGCUAAGAAUGCUCCAUCCUCUUCCAAAAUGUAAUCCCAAUCCACAAAGCAGCCAAAAAUGUCCCCUUAAUUGCCUUCCAGUAAGAGAAAACGUAUGGAUGAACCGACUGAGUUUGAAUCUACUGCUAGAAUUUAACUCAAAUCCAAUGCUCAUUCUGAGGGUAAUUCAAGGGAAGCAAACCAUGAGAGGUCACAAGAAACGCAAACCCAAGGAGAAGUACUUCCAUAUGACCCGACUGUUAAAGAAAUUUUAAAUGCCCAUUUGGAAUCAAGGAAGUUGUGUUUCGAAAGAGGAGUGAAUCUGAUAUGUGUCAAGGAGCGUUUUCUAGCUUUUUAUAAUGAGUUGGUCAGUCGAGGUUGGUUAAAAUUGGCAACAAAGCUAGGCAAAGUGAAUGAAACCUUGGUUCGUGAAUUUUAUGAAAACAUGUCCAUAUUGCCAGGACACUCAACUACUAUAGUUGUGAGUAAUGUGGUGGUUUCAAUAGAUCCAAAGGCAUUCAAUGAACUUCUUGAUUUGCCAAAUGUGGACCAAGCUACCUAUGUCAAAAAGUUGAAAAUUUCUAAAAGUAAAAUUCGAGAGUGGGUUGUAUAUGUGUUAGGGAAAGAAAAAGAGGUACCGAACUGGAAGUUAAACAAUUCUACAAUCAGAAAGAGGACUUUUAGCCAACUUGCAAAGAACUGGGUUAGUUUUGUUCUUGGACGACUUCAACCAUGUAAGAAUGAUGAUGAAAUUCCAUUGCAUCGGGCACUUGUUACUGCUGCCAUCAUCAAGAAAUGGCCCAUUAAUGUGGGGCAAGUCAUGACAACAGAAAUCAUAUCAGCUUGCAAGAAAACCAAAACAAAUCAGUCAUUGCACUUCCCAUGGGAUCUUACAGAGAGUUGAUGGAGAAGGCUAAUGUACCAUGGCGAUCCCAAGAUGUCGAGGUAGAGGGACCCAAGAAUAUUGAUUUGUUCUCAUUAAAAGAUGCAUUGACUACUGCCAAGAAGAGCAAAACAACGUCCACAACAAGGACUAGCCAGUCUGACGAGCUAGUUCCUAAGGUACCUCUUAUCAGUGAAUCACCAUCCAAUUCUGAACCUUCUAUCAUUCAAGCAACCUCUGUCGGUACAUUGCAAGUCAUAAAUGCAAAAUUGGAUAAGAUCUUAAAGAAUCAAGAAGAGCAUGCACAAACUGAGAAGGUUAGGAAUGAUACACUGGAGAAGCUUGUAAAAACAAUCCAAGGCAUAAAAUACACUCACAGAGAUAGAGAAGUCUUGCAAAGUUGAGUUUCCAAAGUUGAAUGAAGUUGUUACUAAUUUUUCUAAGGAGAUGACUCAAUUUCGAAAGGAGUGGAGUCAUAGAGUUCAAGAGGCAGAAGAGGACCUUGAUAAGGCAACUGAUGGCACAAGACCAAGUGAUAAGGAUCUAGAUGAUGAUACAAUUGAUGAUGCAUUAUUGUUCUAUAGGAGCACCCAAGCUCCUGAGAUUGAGGUGUCAUGUUCUGAGUAGCCUGGUUUAGUGGGUCCAAACCAACAGAUUGUAAGUGUUCCAGAUUCACACACCAUUAAAGUUGUCGAUGUUGAUGCUUCACUGUCAAAGAAGAGGCAUAUGCAAACAGAAUCAGCCACCUGAGUUGCAGGGAUUUGGAGCUAAAGAAGUCAAGCAAUCAAGUAUUUGAUCAAGAAUGAUGAAAACAAGAUGGAGGUUGGAGCAAAAGAGUGAGAAAAGUAAAGAUUGAGAAGUCACAAAAAUCGUGCCCAAGUUUAGUUGUCAUGGAGCCGUUUCUGAGGGUAGAAGAGCUUGAAUUUGGCUAAGUCUGAAAAAGGAACAAGUUUGUCUCACUCCAUGAAAAUUUUGGCUCCACGAAAUGAAAAUGGGGAGGCAAAAAUUGGAAUGUCUCCACGAUUUUGCUCCACGAAAUUGGCAGUGAAAUGGCAUCUUUGUCCAAAUUUUGAGAGAGAUAAAUAGGAAUUAGGUCAUUUUUCUUGGGCAGCUUUUGAUUUUGGAAGUCUAGGAGGAGUAUCUCUAGUUAACUUUGCAAGGAUUAAGAGAUUUUCACCAUAAAGUUUGCAUAUUCUUAUUUGUUUAAUCUUAAACUAUGUUUAUUCUUACCUUUCAUCUUGUAUUUUCUUUUUCUAGUAUGUGUAGCUAAACCUAUUAGUUGAGGUUGUAGACUCUUAUGGCUUUUAUGUGAUUGAAUACUAGUUUAUCUUGCU